rnacentral:rRNA from 1 species
GCAAGUCGAGCGAGAACCCUUCUUCGGAAGGCAGACAGCGGCGCACGGGUGAGUAACGCGUACACAAUCUACCUUUCAGUGUGGAAUAGCCCUGGGAAACUGGGAUUAAUACCGCAUAGUAUUUAAGACUGGCAUCAGUUUUAAAUUAAAGCUCCGGCGCUGAGAGAUGAGUGUGCGUACUAUUAGCUAGUUGGUAAGGUAAUGGCUUACCAAGGCUACGAUAGUUAGGGGGCGUGAGAGCGUGACC